rnacentral:misc_RNA from 1 species
CCUCUCACCGCGCUCUCCGACGAAGCUCGUCGAAACGAGCGGCGAACGUGAUUCAGGCCGAGAAGAGGGGCAAAGGCCGGACGGGCUGGCCACAACACGUCUGGGCGCUGGAGCUCAAGC